GGCUCAGUGGUCUAGUGGUAUGAUUCUCGCUUUGGGUGCGAGAGGCAACGGGUUCGAUUCCCGUCUGAGCCC
rnacentral:tRNA from 2 species